rnacentral:rRNA from 1 species
AUGAACGCUGGCGGCGUGCCUAAUCCAUGCACGUCGAGCGAACGGACGAGAAGCUUGCUUCUCUGAUGUUAGCGGCGGACGGGUGAGUAACACGUGGAUAACCUACCUAUAAGACUGGGAUAACUUCGGGAAACCGGAGCUAAUACCGGAUGAUAUUUUGAACCGCAUGGUUCAAAAGUGAAAGACGGUCUUGCUGUCACUUAUAGAUGGAUCCGCGCUGCAUUAGCUAGUUGGUAAGGUAACGGCUUACCAAGGCAACGAUGCAUAGCCGACCUGAGAGGGGGAUCGGCAACACAGGAACUGAGAAACGGACCAGACUCCUACGGGAGGCAGAAGUAGGGAAUCUUCCGAAAUGGGCGAAAGCCUGACGGAGCAACGCCGCGUGAGUGAUGAAGGUCUUCGGAUCGUAAAACUCUGUUAUUAGGGAAGAACAUAUGUGUAAGUAACUGUGCACAUCUUGACGGUACCUAAUCAGAAAGCCACGGCUAACUACGU